rnacentral:tRNA from 1 species
GAUUCGCUGGUGUAACCGGUAACACACUUAGUCGUGUUAACAAAGGGAUGUGGGUUCAAGUCCCAUGCAUAUGG